AACGAACGCUGGCGGCAGGCUUAACACAUGCAAGUCGAACGCCCCGCAAGGGGAGUGGCAGACGGGUGAGUAACGCGUGGGAAUCUACCGUACCCUACGGAACAACAGUUGGAAACGACUGCUAAUACCGUAUACGCCCUACGGGGGAAAGAUUUAUCGGGGUAUGAUGAGCCCGCGUUGGAUUAGCUAGUUGGUGGGGUAAAGGCCUACCAAGGCGACGAUCCAUAGCUGGUCUGAGAGGAUGAUCAGCCACAUUGGGACUGAGACACGGCCCAAACUCCUACGGGAGGCAGCAGUGGGGAAUAUUGGACAAUGGGCGCAAGCCUGAUCCAGCCAUGCCGCAUGAGUGAUGAAGGUCUUAGGAUUGUAAAGCUCUUUCACCGAUGAAGAUAAUGACGGUAGUCGGAGAAGAAGCCCCGGCUAACUUCGUGCCAGCCGCCGCCGUAAAAC
rnacentral:rRNA from 1 species